AUUGAACGCUGGCGGCAGGCUUAACACAUGCAAGUCGAGCGGAGAUGAGGUGCUUGCACCUUAUCUUAGCGGCGGACGGGUGAGUAAUGCUUAGGAAUCUGCCUAUUAGUGGGGGACAACAUUCCGAAAGGAAUGCUAAUACCGCAUACGUCCUACGGGAGAAAGCAGGGGAUCUUCGGACCUUGCGCUAAUAGAUGAGCCUAAGUCGGAUUAGCUAGUUGGUGGGGUAAAGGCCUACCAAGGCGACGAUCUGUAGCGGGUCUGAGAGGAUGAUCCGCCACACUGGGACUGAGACACGGCCCAGACUCCUACGGGAGGCAGCAGUGGGGAAUAUUGGACAAUGGGGGGAAACCUGAUCUAGCCAUGCCGCGUGUGUGAAGAAGGCCUUAUGGUUGUAAAGCACUUUAAGCGAGGAGGAGGCUACUGAGACUAAUACUCUUGGAUAGUGGACGUUACUCGCAGAAUAAGCACCGGCUAACUCUGUGCCAGCAGCCGCGGUAAAAC
rnacentral:rRNA from 1 species